GCGAGUCGUGCAAGCUGGUCGCGCGUCACUCGUUAACGGGACGCAGAGGAAGACGGCGAGAGAGGCGCGUAUUGUGCGUUUGAAACGCGCAGGAAACGAAAGAAAGGCAGGAAACGCGAAGGUGCUCGGGAGCGGAUUUUCUAUUUCGGUCAAGGUUCGUCAGGCGGCUUAGAAGCGACGACACGAGAAGAGACGUUCGACGAUGGUCUGCUGCCCCGUCGCCAUGACUGUUUACGUUGAUUCAGUGCUCGGGCUUAAUUUGCCCUUUGAAUAUCGUAGUGCAUCAACCGGACAGCAGAGUGGGUUUGAGAAUCCAUGAGAAAUUCGACACCUUUCGUAUCUUUACUUUAUACGUAGUUCCAGAGUCGUUAUAUUUGUCCACACUCUCCCCCCCUCCCCUCCCUCCUUCCACCCCUCUCCCUUCCACCCCUCUCCCCACUCCGCCAGCCCCUCCCACGCCGCUCUUUAAAUAAAGCCUGACUUACCGAAGACCGCUCAGAAUCCAACGAGUAUCGCCCAAUACCAAUUCCAUGCACCGAAAAACUUUAUUAGAAUAUUACAUUAGAAUACUUUGAAUCGUCCGUUGAUUGUCAAGGAGGACUUUGAAAAGCGCGCGAGACCUAACGAACUUUAGACAGCUGCUAGCACGACGUCUCCCCGCCCAUGGGGUGAAGUUUACUUGCGUUGAUAUUCCUUUAUAGCAAAAAACCAUGAAGAAUCCAAAAUAUCCACGACUUUUUACAUCGGGACUGUCUUCUGUCCCAGAAGACCGUGGAACACGUGUGCACAGUCCGAGAAGAUACGUGCGAGGUUCUUGUCAGAAUGUAUUUUAAUGAAGACCUUUCUUUUUUCUUUUUUUUUUUUUUUCCUCAAAGAAAAAAUAAGAAAACAGAAAAAGAAUACACUCGUCGAAAGAUCAGUCACGCAUUGACUGAUGAGACGAAAAAAUAUCGGUGCCCUAUGUUAAUGAGCUUGGGAGGAGUCGUUUUAAGAAAAAAAAAAAAAGAAGCAAAGUCGACAUAACCACAAAAUCGGUGCACCGAUCGAAUCCUACUGAUUACGUGUAUGGGCUGACGUAACAAUAUGGCUGACGUCUAGGACAACGUUCACGAUGAAAUUGGUUACGCCAAGAGGCGAUUCCAGAAAUAGACUAGACUUUAUACGUGCAUCGUGAUUAGUAUGCCAGUGUCCUCGGCUACUCGUUUGUCAAAAUUAGCUGCGUCACGUACCAGCAGUAGCAAUUGUCAAACAGUAAAUAACGUCGACGCAAUAUAAGUGUGCACGUAUUAUCUGCGUUAUAUGUAUAUGUCAUGUAUAUGGUAUAGCGUGUACGGUGAAGGAGUAUCAAUGAAAUGUAAUUUCUGUCAAUUUGAUUUUCGUGUACACAGGAUGGCGACAUUCUCAAAGGACGAGAGAAGAGAAGAGAAGAUACCGAGAGGGAUUUAAUGGAAAAUAAUAAGCCUAGAGCAAUCGGUCAGUUUCCCUUUGGCUAUCGAGAGGCGAAGUUGAUCGAUGACGCGGAGGCACGACGAACGAUUAAUCUUGCGAUCGAGUUAAAGAAUAUCGGCAAUGAUUUAUUCGUCCGAUCAUUAAAUCUGUUAUCGUGCAUCGAAAUAUUGCACGAGCGAAUCGUGAUUAUGUAGUCAAGUAAAAGAUAGCGAUGACAGAAAAUAGGUUACGAGGGGCGAUUUUUUUGAAUUUCUUUUAACGCAUAGACAUUCGAUAAUCUCGAUAUGUCAAUUAAACUUAUACCGAAGAAAUAUCGAGAGGAAUUCGAGCAGUGUAAGGCUAAAGGUUUACUAAAUUUGGAAAGCUUGCGCGCUGAUACCCUGGAUGUUAAUAAAGCCUCUCAUUCUCUUCUGCCUUAACCCAGGAAAAGCUUCCGCGUCUCUGAAGAUGGUUAAAGAUACGUUCUCAAAAUUAGACGUUCGUCAGUAUCACGCGCGACGGUGUUUUCGGUGGACUCAAUUGGCACGAAUUCGAACGUGGACAUUUUUCCAAAAUUCAUAACCAAAAAAAUUUCACCAAUUCGCAUAAAACAGUCCACGAUUAAAAAAUCGAAAGAUUGAAAUUAUGUGAUAAAAACAAUUUUUUUUAUUUGAAAUCCCAAUAAAAAGAUGAAAAUAAAAAAAGUCACUUAAAUCUCAAAACCAACAUAUACGCCAAUACAGUGUAUACCACUGUAAUGACAGGUGGAGUAAUUAGAGCGUUAAAACAUCAAGAAUAGUUCCUCGUGUUCCUCUGCUUAGUCACUCGACAGACAUAAUAUAGGAUACAAAAAAAGUUUUCUGAACCCAUAUAAAAAAAAAUGUCUAAAUACGAUAAAGAAAAUUCCAAAAAAAAAAAAAAAAACCUGGCAAAUACAUUUCAAUCGAUAAUACCGCUCGUACCCGAUAUCCGAUAAGAUAUCGUCGACGAUCCAAGUUCGAUCGAAAAUUUCGGAUCGUCCGUCCGAAGCCAUUUCGCGCGUAAGCGAUAAACGUCAGAGCCCCGAAGAUAUUAUCGAAGCGUGGCAAAUUCUCAAUCAAUAGAGAUCAAACGCCGUAACGAAGUACGGGCGGUUUACGUCGCCAUUUUAAAUGUCUCGUAUAAAAAAGUGACGGCACAAUUCGUAAAUGCAUUGAAUUUCCGAGCACGAAAUACCAGAGGUCAUAAACGAGUGUCUAGCCUAGCUAACCAUAUAUGUAUAUAUGUGUACGAAAGCCCGUCGCGACGCCAUGCAUCCUUCCUUUCAAAGUGGAUCGUGAAUGACGUCUUCUAUUUCGAAAAAAUACCAUAGCGAAGGUGCUCGAGCUCUUCCGGUUGUUUCGAGCUUAUACUGGCAUCGCCGACGCGCCAACCUAACCUGACUUAUCCUACCUAUCUAUAGAGUUGCAUAAACGUUUCUCUUGCGCGACCAUGUGACGAGCAUAAAACGCAACUGCCGAGGCCCGCGUUCGGUGUCAGUUCGAACGACCCCAUUGCAUUCUCAUGCUAAUACGCGCGCAUGCUGCAGUGGCAGCGACGAAAUGACUUAUUUCGUAAGAAUCCAUAAGCCGACGUUAGCGCCGGCGCUCGGUGAAGGUACGAAGCUCUUGUGAUUAGCGAUGUAUCUGGAGCGACGGUAAAUAAGAGCAGUCGUGGAGCUAUAAGAGCGAGAGAGAAAAAAAAACAAGCAUAUACAGUAGCCACGGGUAUACUGAUAUAAGCACAGGAUUUGGAAAUACUUGUGUCUCCGUCGAUGGGUCAGCUCGCUUCCAAACCCGAGUAAUAACAAAUCCGUAAAGUAGCCGUACAGUCGAAGGUGAGUAAAUUGAAUGGACUGUCCCGCCGAGCACUUCUUCAUAGUCAAUUAUCGGAGCAAGCUGAUAUGACGGCUGCGUUGCGUAAGAGAGCGCAGAAGAUACUUAACGGUGAAGCGUAACGAGUCGAGCCUUGGAAUUUGUCUGAAGUUCGUUUAUGUAAGAAAUAUAUCUCGCAAGACUGUACCUUUGUACGGGUUGGUGAUUAGUUGCGUGAUAUUAACGAGGACGAGAAGCGUCUCCAGGACGACGCAACAGAGUGCGAGGACCAAAGGGUGAAGAUGAUAAAAAAAAAGGUACACAUAAAAAAAAAAAAAGAAAUCGAGCAAAGGAUGCUGCUUGGGAUAUGUAAAGGGGGUGAGGAACAGAAAAAAGGAUAAGAGGGUAAAAAGAAGGUGGAGGGAGGGAGGAGGAGGAGGGGAGAGAAAAAAGCUAAGGAUACUGCCAGCAGUGGAAAUAAAAGGUAGAGUAGGAGCGAAGAUCGGAAGUUCAAGGUGGACACCGUGUCGAGAAAGUGAAGAGAAGGUCGAAUGCGGAAGAAAAGAAGAUUAGGAAAAGACAAAAAAAAAAAAGAGGUAUGUUUUACACGCUCGAAUAAACUUCCAUUCGGCGAUCACGCUCUGGAACGAAAUCACUUAAAUUCCAGAAUGGCUGGGUGUGUGUGGAAUUUACUUUUUUUUCUCUCUUUUUUCUUUUAUCUAUAUCAAUUUAUAUUAUUAAUUAUUACACCGCGCAGUUUAUAACCAUAAUCAUAAAUAUGUGUAAUUAUAUGCUCGAGGUUGUAAUAUCCUAUUUAACGUAGAUAAACUCGUAGCUACCCAAUUCGUGCGUAAGGUAGUGUCAGAUUUGAGAGAAAAAAUUGUUGCUCAAUGUGGAGAUAAGAUUUUUUUUUAGUGAAAAAAAAGGUGUUUUUUUUUUUUUUAAUUUUUCUUAAGCAAGACCAAAGACAAGCUUCGCUAUUCGUAUUAUGAUACCCCAUUCGAAAAAUUGGCCAUUGAUCGGUAAUUCCGAAUUCGUCAGACUCAACCGGCCCUCGCAGCUGGUGCGCACUUAAUGAUCACGUCCAGGUUGAACCGUAACGUUUAUUGCUCGUAUACGAUAUAUAAAUAAAUGAUAGUGUCUCCGACAUUGCGCAUGACGAAACGAGAAUAACCGCUAGCCAGUCUGCACUUACUCGCUUAGGAUUAGUGGCAUAUUAGUGGCACCACCUGCUUCCACUAUUUCAUCAAUUCGCCCCCGCGAGAUUCGCUAAUGCACAUUUGCGAAGCACCUAGAGAGGACGUAACGACCUCUUGCUACUUUGUUGCGAGAAGCUUCGCGAUUGAGACUUAUCGUACUCCCAUACCUACUUUGAGUUUCGCACUGGCGGCAAUUUCAAGUUUAUAUAUUCACCUCUAUGUAUGUAUAUGUAGUUCACACAGAAAGACAUUGUGGGUAUAAGAUGAUAAAUUUUUUCUUUUAAAUAUUUAUAUAUUUUUUUCAUACUAAUUCUCAUUCAUAUCGUCUCUUUGAAUUACGUCAAGUUAAUCGGUUACGUACGUCUGACUGUCUGUCUUGUUAAUGUUAAUGAUACGCGCUCGAUAUGCAAUUUUUCGCAAGGAUACGAUAACGCGCUGAUACCCAAAUAGGCUGUUUUGCAAGAUGAACACUUUGAUCCCCUGUUUUGACUUAUAUCAUAUGUACGUAACAGUGUAGUUAACGUUGAUUAAAGAGAGAGAGAGAGAGAGAGAGAGAGAGAGAGAGAGAGAGAGAGAGAGAGAGAGAGAGAAAGAAAUAUGGUGGAUAGCAACCAAAAGAAAAAAUUUUAUUACUUAUUGCGCAAACCACUGAUAACGUAGAGCAAAGAGCCAUCGGUUCUUUUUUGAUAAAUCAUGACUUCGUUAAGAAAUAAUCAUUGACUUCCUGGUGAGAAACAGGGUAUUUUAUAUCGAUUUUACGAUCCCUUAUAAGGUCACGUGGAACGUUGACACUGUUAAACUAAUUUUACAAAAUAAUCGUUAUUAUGUGAUAUCUUUGUUUUAGGAAAUUUAUUGAAAGUCGAUAGUAACGCUAGAGAAAAGUGGAAGAAUAAUUACCCGACACCCGGUAUACAGAAGUAUCGUAAAAAUAAUUUUGAGGAUUACAUUGUUAUUAGAAAAGAGACAAAGUAAAAUAGAAAAAAUUUAGAAUAUUUUUGUAAAAUAUAUAUUUUAAUAAUUAAGUUACCUCCUAUGCUUUGUCAAAUUUUUAUAAUUUUUUUUUUGGUCACGCAACCAAUUUCCGGUUUAAGCAAUAAUUGAACGAACGACGCAUUGGAUUAACGCUAGUUGGAUCUCUGCAUGUAUAUAUAAAAGGGACGUGAACAAAUGGCCAGUGGUGGGAAAUAAAUAGGAGCCAUGAGCGUCGUCCUGAUUCCUAUCGUAUGGCUAUUUAACAUAAUUAAAUACUCUUUAGUCCAGCCAUAAUUGACUAACUCCGAUCUAACAUUCUCUACCUGGAAUUUACAUCCAUUCCUGAUUUGGGUGGCAUCCACUGUCAAUAGGUUUUCUUGAUCGCAAUUAAAUAUUCGGCACAGAAUCGUAUAUCGUCCAUACGAGUCCCGGCUACGAAACAAACGGACCACCCACGAGGGUAAAUUCGCAACGUUGUCGCUGUCCUCGUUAUAGCAAUGUGACGCGCGAGAACGGCAAUCUCCGUGGAAGCCUUUUUUUUCCCCCGUAAGCCUUUGCUAAGCGAAAUUGAUAAAGAGAUCGUUGGAACGUGAGAUUUCUCAGGAGCACGUGCUUGGACAGGUGUAAUAUUCACUUCCGGUGGAAGUGAGGGCUAUCUGGAUACGAGAAAGAAGGUAUAACGCUUUGGCGACUCUUUCAGCAUUCCACCAAUUUUUGAUAACACGAAGAACGUUAUGAUACCAUAGAAAAUGUAUAUAUGUUAAAUAAAGUAUUCUUAGUACAAGAAAUACGUGUACAACUUUUAUUCCAAUUGUUGUGUAUAUUCCCAUAUCCACUUUCAAUGUUUUUCCUAACCUCACUUUGGCAACGUGCCUUAUCCGCUGUCGGCUAACAAAAUUGCAAAUACGCAGCAAUAGGUGAUAGCAACGCUUCUAUUUCCAUAUUGUCAGCUUUCAAUAAUAGACGGCGUAAGUUAAGUACAGUCAAACCUCGGAUGUUUGCAGGAAUAUUUUAAAAAAUUCAUAUUUACGAUUCUUAAAAUACAUCCGCUUAUAAAGUAAGAGUAAAAUUUUGUCACGGCAUACGAAGAAUUCAUUGUAUUAAAACGUCGAAAUAGAAAAUAUAAUUAAUAUUGAAUAAAAGUCUCACAGUAUUUAGAGAAAUUUAUAACAAGUCAGACAUUAAUAAAAUUGGAAAAUAAAAGACUGAAAAUUGUAUUUCUUCGCUUCCCUUGCCCGUCUCUCUUCGUCGUAUUGAUGUCGGCGAAUGACAAUAAUAUAUCGAAUUUUUAGUAAAAUUAUACUCAGACCACUGAGAUAAGAGUUAACUAGCUUGACUGCAUUAAAAAGUGUUUACUACUUUAAGAAAAAUAUCAAAUACGCGACUAAAAUAUAACAACGAGCAAAACGUCAGAUUCGAAUGCGAAAUGACAGUUGGCGAUCAUGGCGUCCGUGGCUGUGGCUCUGUGAACCCCGUGACAUGGUGGCAUAAGCCCGCGCUACGAUAGCAGCCACCACGUGCCAGCCGUGGCGGUGGCGUCCCACGCCAAAAUGGAUUCAGACAAAAAGACGCAAGCAUCUUUUAAUUUCUAAUCUAACCAUAAGAAUUAACAGAGUCCUCUGUAUAAAUAUGAAUA